GAUCUAGAUUGAGAAGGAACGAA
rnacentral:miRNA from 1 species